UUAGUGGCGCACGGGUGAGUAAUAUAUAGCUAACCUGCCCUUUAGUGGGGGACAACAGUUGGAAACGACUGCUAAUACCCCAUACUCCUUCUUACUAUAAGGUAAGUCGGGAAAGAUUUAUCGCUAAAGGAUGGGGCUUUAUUGUAUCAGCUAGUUGGUGAGGUAAUGGCUCACCAAGGCUAUGACGCAUACCUGGUCUGAGAGGAUGAUCAGGCACACUGGAACUGAGACACGGUCCAGACUCCUACGGGAGGCAGCAGUGGGGAAUAUUGCACAAUGGGGGAAACCCUGAUGCAGCAACGCCGCGUGGAGGAUGACGCAUUUCGGUGUGUAAACUCCUUUUAUAAGGGAAGAUAAUGACGGUACCUUAUGAAUAAGCACCGGCUAACUCCGUG
rnacentral:rRNA from 1 species